rnacentral:rRNA from 1 species
CCUACGGGCGGCUGCAGUGGGGAAUAUUGGACAAUGGGGGCAACCCUGAUCCAGCCAUGCCGCGUGUGUGAAGAAGGCCCUCGGGUUGUAAAGCACUUUCAGUGAGGAAGAACGCCUGGUGGUUAAUACCCAUCAGGAAAGACAUCACUCACAGAAGAAGCACCGGCUAACUCCGUGCCAGCAGCCGUGGUAAUACGGAGGGUGCGAGCGUUAAUCGGAAUUACUGGGCGUAAAGCGCGCGUAGGUGGCUUGAUAAGCCGGUUGUGAAAGCCCCGGGCUCAACCUGGGAACGGCAUCCGGAACUGUCAAGCUAGAGUGCAGGAGAGGAAGGUAGAAUUCCCGGUGUAGCGGUGAAAUGCGUAGAGAUCGGGAGGAAUACCAGUGGCGAAGGCGGCCUUCUGGACUGACACUGACACUGAGGUGCGAAAGCGUGGGUAGCAAACAGGAUUAGAUACCCUGGUAGUC